rfam:Gossypium hirsutum cultivar TM-1 unplaced genomic scaffold scaffold587.1, whole genome shotgun sequence
UAUUAAAAAAUUCAUCCAUUUUUACUAUUAAAAACUAAAGUAGCUAAUAGAAUAACCAAACAGUUAGUUAAACAUGACAUGCCACAAGUGCCUCAUUAUAACAUUCAAAUACUAAUUUUUAACAGUAGAAAUGAAUGAUUUUUUUAAUA